AGAGUUUGAUCAUGGCUCAGGAUGNNNNNNNAGCGGCAGGCUUAAUACAUGCAAGUCGAGGGGCAGCAUGACUGUAGCAAUACAGUUGAUGGCGACCGGCAAACGGGUGCGGAACACGUACACAACCUUCCUUUAAGUGGGGAAUAGCCCGGGGAAACCCGGAUUAAUACCCCGUAAUAUAAUGAAGUGGCAUCACUUUACUAUUAUAGCUCCGGCGCUUGAAGAUGGGUGUGCGACUGAUUAGGCAGUUGGCGGGGUAACGGCCCACCAAACCUACGAUCAGUAACUGGUGUGAGAGCACGACCAGUCACACGGGCACUGAGACACGGGCCCGACUCCUACGGGAGGCAGCAGUAAGGAAUAUUGGUCAAUGGACGCAAGUCUGAACCAGCCAUGCCGCGUGGAGGAUGAAGGUCCUCUGGAUUGUAAACUUCUUUUAUCUGGGAAGAAACCCACGAAUUCUUUUGUGGUUGACGGUACCAGAUGAAUAAGCACCGGCUAACUCCGUGCCAGCAGCCGCGGUAAUACGGAGGGUGCAAGCGUUAUCCGGAUUCACUGGGUUUAAAGGGUGCGUAGGUGGGCAGGUAAGUCAGUGGUGAAAUCUCUGGGCUUAACCCGGAAACUGCCAUUGAUACUAUCUGUCUUGAAUACCGUGGAGGUUAGCGGGAUAUGUCAUGUAGCGGUGAAAUGCUUAGAUAUGACAUAGAACACCAAUUGCGAAGGCAGCUGGCUACACGAAUAUUGACACUGAUGCACGAAAGCGUGGGGAUCAAACAGGAUUAGAUACCCUAGUAGUCC
rnacentral:rRNA from 1 species